rnacentral:rRNA from 1 species
AUGCGUAGGAAUCUACCUAGUAGUACGGAAUAGCCAUUAGAAAUGGUGGGUAAUACUGUAUAAUCCCCGAGGGGGAAAGAUUUAUCGCUAUUAGAUGAGCCUACGUUAGAUUAGCUAGUUGGUGAGGUAAUGGCUUACCAAGGCUAUGAUCUAUAGCUGGUCUGAGAGGACGAUCAGCCACACUGGAACUGAGAUACGGUCCAGACUCCUACGGGAGGCAGCAGUGGGGAAUAUUGGACAAUGGGCGAAAGCCUGAUCCAGCUAUGCCGCGUGAGUGAAGAAGGCCUUCGGGU